ACCUGUGCUGAACUCUUAGAGUAUGCGUACAAGUAUAUUCAUGCAGAUGAAGCUGCUUCUGAUCGAUGCCAUACAGAAGAAAAAGGUUAGAAGAAAAAAUAGAAAAAAAGUAGAGCUCCGACCGAAUCAAGUCGGUCAAUUACCAAUAAGUGAGCUUCACCUCGACGAUGGAGUCCGAAGCUGAACAGUUAUGGUAGGUA
rnacentral:lncRNA from 1 species